UGGGAACACACACAAUCGUUUCGCUAUUGUUUGAUAUACGCACUGCAGACAUCGCUAAACAGUUGCCUACCCCCCAUUCUGUUUGUUUAAAUACUCGAGCUGGCCAUUUCUCGAUUCAGCCGGCGGGUAGCUGUUUCCGCUCCAUUAUUCACCUGUAAGUUCACCGCGUGACGUCAUCAAGCAAAGGUGUGUAGUUUCGUCUGCAGACAGGUUAGAGAGGAAGUGACAAAUACUAACGGUCAUCGCUGUCUGUCCUCACUCUCCUUUAACUGUCUCUGACGACCUCAGCUCGGUAAAGUUGUCACACAAGUGUUGUUUAUCAAUUUGUGUACAGAGAAACAGCGAUAGACGUGCGUGACACAGGUGAAUGAAAUAUCGAAUACUUCGAUAAUUUCUUUGGUGAAAGCCGCCAUCGUCGUGAUCAUCAUGUUGUCAACUUGCUAUGUAGCUCUAGCUGUGCUUUUCUUGACGACCUUAAUUGGAGACCUUACUGCAGAAGAACCCAUCGCGGGAAAAAAUACCAGGUGUUGGUGCGAACAGGAGAAUGGCUGCCGAAACGCUCCUGAGACAACAGGGAGUAAUGUAGAGGUGAUUUUAGUGUCUAAAGAAAACUCAUCAACUGCAGUCUGGAAGUGGGAUAGCUUCUCUACAGUCAUCACCACUUUCAGUACCGCACAGGAAACACCCAUGAACAAAAUUGCCUGUGAAGCUCACCACAGGGGCAAGAAAUAUGGUUUCAUCAUGCCAUUGCCCAAGGUUGUUAAUAAUACCUUUUCUGAAACUGAUCAGAAAGAGGUGAUCAGCACUAUCUCUAAGAGAAGUCAGUUGUGGUAUGCAGAUAUAAUUGUGCUAGACAUGAUUGACACCCUAAAAAAACCAGGAGCGACUUAGAUAACCUGGAUAAGUUUUUAAAAAAAAUCGCGACUAGUGGGAUUGAUGGGAGAAAAGUUCAACAAAAAAUUUACUGCUUGGUGCCUUGGAUGGUUGCUUGUCAAAAUGACACCUGUCAAUCACUGAGAAAUCUUCUAACUCAUUGCUUCACUCUCAUGCUCAGUCCUGACAGCUACCUGGAUACGGCAGAUCAACAAAGAUGUGAAGCUGUACCCACCAUUCCCUUCACUGAAUUUAUUUAUGGCAUCGAACAGUAUCUUAAUCUGAACAGAAUACCACUUGUGGUCGGUAUUCCAUGGCAUGGCUAUGACUACACAUGUGAACUUUUAAAACUGCAGAUGACGCUGCCUACUGAAAAGGAAUACAGAUGGAACUUGUGACAUCACCAAGCAUCGAAAGAGAAUGAGUCUGGCAGCAAUCCAUGAGGAAAACUAUUUUGACCAAAAAAAAGUUACAACAGACCAGUUGACACAGGCAGCAUAUUUGACUUACCCGGAGAAAGAUACUAGUGUGCACCACCUAGUGUGGUUUGAAAAUGCUGACACACUGACCAUUAAGUACAAAAUCGUGAAUCUGCUUCCUGUCAAAGGUGUGUCACUGUGGAUGGCAGAGGAUCUUGCUGAUGGAUUACAACAGAAAAACUUCAAGAGGACACCAAUAUGUGGGGUUGGUUGACGCAUGUGAUGAUCCACGAAGCUGCUAUUAACCCACCACAAAUCACACACUACUUUGCAGAUACAGUGGCUGGUGCUGCUAUUGGAUGCCUGCUUUUGGGCACAGCUCUCGGUAUAACAUUUACAUGCAUUGCUUUGCGCCGGUGUAAACGUUCCCCACCUAAACGACCAUUCAAGUUGGAUGAGGCUGUUGAUGAUUUUCAUGAUGAUCCUGGCCUCUGAACAUCUACAAAUAUGUUUUUAUUGUAUUGGUUAUAUUAUUCUUGGUAUGGAAAGGAAUAGUUUAAGUUCUUUUUUAAUCGUUUAAUAUAUCAAACCUUAUCAAAGGGAUUAUAGUGUUAACAGUCAAGCUGAAGUUAUGAUAUUUAAAUGUGAAUAGUUUGUUAGUCGUACAGAGGUUUUCUACAGAUAGGUAAAUUUGGAAAGAAUAAUAAUAGUGGAAUUAUCUUGAUGGAAGAAUGGACGCAAUUAUUAGCAUGCUUUCUAGAAUUAGACAAUAGAAUGUCUUAGACAGCAUUUUGUCCUCAGCUUAUUUUUGACAUAAUAAGUCUUAAUGUUGCUUCAUGCACAAUCUGUUAGACAUAGGCAUCAUGUUUGAGUGGUGCAGUCUCGAAGCCUUAAUGGUUUAUGAAAUCCACCAUAUGCAAAGAACAAAACUUAUGUGAUACAUAGAGGUGUAUCAGUGUUGCAUGUCUAUUUUCAUUCUUGGACAAAGAAGAAUUAUGAACACCUCAAAAUGUAUUCACUGUCACAAGUGCCCUUUGUAAAUUUUUAUAAACUUCUUCAAUGGACGCAACCAGUGUAAUGUCAAAUCUCCUUUAUAGAACAUAUAUGGGUUGUGUAAAACAUUUAUGGUUUUGUAUAAACAAAUUGACCAUGAACAUCGUCAUCCAAUAUUUGCUAAGCAUUUGACCUCUCACACUUGGGGGGAAUAUAUAGAGAUAUAUGAUUGUUGUUUUGUAAAUAAUGUAUGGUAAACGAGAGAAUACAGCUUUUGAAGAACGUUGCUCUAUGUCUGAGAUUUUCGAUCAAAACUAAUUUUUCACUUUUACAUCAUCUAAGUUUUUGUAUCCAUGGUUCAAUUAAAUGUGCUGAAUACCCAUAAAUACAUUUGUGCAAACUACAGAAAGUGUUUGUAGUGGCAGGGCCCUUUGUAGUUGUGCUACCUGUGUGCAAGUAUUGCUCUUUCCUGGAUUGACACUUUUUUGGACAAUGCCUCAAUCUUUAGGACCAACUUUUCUAUCUGAACAAAAGGUAAUUCACAUUAAUACUUUUUAGAAACAAAUAUAUCCCUAAUUUUACAUUAAAAUUCUGCUCUUUUUAUAGUUUUGUUUGAAGUGACAUUAAUGUUUACUCCAACACUGCAAAGAAUGAAGGAAAACAGCAAGGAUGAUAUUCAACACCGUUGCAUGUGUUUGAACGUGCAUACAAGAAACAUUUCACGGUGUACCCUACACAAAAACAAGGAUUAGAAAAGUUCCCCGUUUUUACAGUUUAUUUACCUAGAAGAAAGUUACUACUGCUUUCUGCUUGAGAUUAAAAACGAAUAGACCUUGUAUUAUUAAAAUCUCAUGUAUAUAAACAAUCCCAAGAUGUUUACUUUCUAAAGUGCAUUUUCAUAGGUGUGGCAGCACAUUUUGUACUGAGUGUGCCAAGCUGAAAUUUUACAACAGCAAGCUUGUUGAGGCAAACAUUUGAAGAUGUCUUGUUGGCAUAUCUACCUUUCUCUGUCUGUUUAAAUGUUAUAUUUUUCACAGUAACUCUUCAUCUUUUUUCAUAGCAUAGUAUUUGAGGCAGGCGUACUUAAAACACUUUUGUGCCUUAAGUUUAAUUUAUAUUUCUGAAUUUCUUAUGUGCCUGUGAAAAUACAAUCAUUUCAAUGGCACAAAUUCUAGCAUUAUUUGGCUUAAACUUAAGUGUAGGAUUUGUGUGUGUGCAUCACGUUGGUUGUACUUUGCUUUUUUUUCACUGUGCAAAAUAUUGGGUUCCAAUCCGAGAAUCCUGAAACCAUUUAGCAGUAAAUAUAUUUUGUUACCUAUUCCAAUCUCUGAAUUUAUGAAAAUACUAAUAAAAUAUUUUUCCAAGUUUUUUGACAGCUUUUCCUUCAUGACCAGCAGUUUUACCAUUCUAUUUUUGUUGUAAUAUUUUAGGUGUGGCAAGACAUUUUGUGCUAAGUGUGCCAAGCUGAAAUUUUACAGCUGCAAGCUUAUUUGUUGAGGCAAACAUUUGAAGUCUUGUUGGCAUAUCUACCUUUCUCUGCCUGUUUAAAGGUUAUGUUUUUCACAGUAAUUCAUUAUCUCUUUCAUAGUAUUUGAGGCAGGUGUAACAUUUUUAUGCCAUAAGUUUAAUUUAUUUUUCUGAAUUUCUUAUGUGCCUGUGAAAAUACAAUCAUUUCAAUGGAACAAAUUCUAGAUUUGGCUUGAACUUUAAGUGUAGGAUUUGUGUGCUUGUGGGUGAAGUGCGCCAUGUUGGUUGCGCUUUACUUUUUUCCACCAUGCAAAAUAUUGGGUUUUAAAUUUUUAGUCAUUCCACAUUGUGUGACAAAUACAGAGGUCCAAUCUAUUUUGUUACCCAUUCCAAUCUCUCUAUUUAUACAAUAUUUUUCAAAAGCUUCUUUUUUUGUUGUAAUGUUUUCAAAAUUUAUUUGUUGUAUUUUGUAAAAAAAAAAAAAAAAAAUAAAUCCAAGAUGUAUAUUUCAAAACAAAUUAAUAUGAAUGCAUUUUGGGUUAUUUGUAAAUGAGAGAAGGCACUGUGUGCAGUUAACUCAGAAAGCAUGUAAAUGCAAAUUUUCAUUUAAUUUCAUUAAAGAAUUUAGA